rnacentral:lncRNA from 1 species
UGUAUUGUAUGGGUGGGCGUAGGUUGGUUUGUUGUUGAUAUUGUUGGUUGUAAAAGUAGUUUGUUUGAGGGAAUGGAGUUUGGGGAUUAUGGUGUUGGGUUGAGGUGGAAUAAAUGGUUAUUGUAUGGGUGGGCGUAGGUUGGUUUGUUGUUGAUAUUGUUGGUUGUAAAAGUAGUUUGUUUGAGGGAAUGGAGUUUGGGGAUUAUGGUGUUGGGUUGAGGUGGAAUAAAUGGUGUGUUGUUG